rnacentral:rRNA from 1 species
CCUACGGGAGGCAGCAGUGGGGGAUAUUGCACAAUGGGGGAAACCCUGAUGCAGCGACGCCGCGUGGGCGAAGAAGUAUUUCUGUAUUUAAAGCCCUAUCAGCAGGGAAGAAGAAAUGACGGUACCUGUGUAAGAAGCACCGGCUAAAUACGUGCCAGCAGCCGCGGUAAUACGUAUGGUGCAAGCGUUAUCCGGAUUUCCUGGGUGUAAAGGGUGCGCAGGCGGCACGGCAAGCCUGAUGUGAAAGCCCGGGGCCCAACCGGGGGACUGCAUUUGGAACUACCGGGCUGGAGUGUCGGGGAGGUAGGCGGAAUUCCUGGUGUAGCGGUGAAAUGCGUAGAGAUUAGAAGGAACACCAGUGGCGAAGGCGGCCUACUGGACGGUGACUGACGCUGAGGCUCGAAAGCGUGGGGAGCAAACAGGAUUAGAUACCCCUGUAGUC